CAAAGAGUGAAAGAUGGUCUUUGUCCAGGAUUUCCAGCUUUUUCAAACCUUCAACCCCAGUGGUGAAGGUCCACUACACUCCUACCAGUGAUACAUUUGGUGCUGAUGCUGCCAUAAUGAAACAGUUGAAGAACAACUUAGAGUCAUCAAUGCUGUUGGAAGAAACAACCAGGAGGAACUGCAGCGUCAUCAUCGUCUUCUGUCCAGUCAGCAAUAGUUUUGAAUCUGAUAUAAAGUUGACCAUGAAAAAAGAAGUCUCAUCAUCUGGUAAACCAGUCAUUCUGGUUCUGAUGCAUCACACCAGAGACCCGGACUAUUCCACUGCAGGAUGUGACGCCUCUGAAGUUCUGAAAAAUGUGUUUUAUGUCCAUGUUUUUUACCAUGAGACUGUAAAAGGAUUACUGACAUGUAAUCAAAAUGACACGGCAAUCAAGGCCAUUGAAAAAAAACUGAAAACCUACAAGCAAUAGAUAACAUUAGCUUUUUGUGGCUAUAUCAGUCUUGUUUUAAUUUUCUUAUCCCAAUACAUUUCUGCAGAUACCAUAACAGCAUGUCAUCAAUUACUGAUGGAAUAAAAGAAGAAAAACUUUGAAUUACUGAGCUUCUGACUGCAAACAGAUCAUUUUUCUUCCAACUGUUUUCAAUUCUAUUUUUUCUGAAUAUGUUUCACUCUGACAAUGUAUUUUACAGCAAACUACAAGCAUUUUGAUUUCAUGUAAGUUUUAGGGCUGAAACUAAUCGGUAAAAUAAAAUAAAACAAUAAAAGAAGAUAAACAAAUGUACAGGAGAUUUUCUGUUCUGGGUUUGUUCCACAGUUAACUUCAUGCUGUAAAACUGCAGUCAGUUUUUUCCUCAACCUCAUACUGAGAGACUUUGAAUGUUAUGCAGAUUUGAAAAAUGGAAAAGGUGGAAAUAAAUGUAGUAUUUCUAU